rnacentral:rRNA from 1 species
UAACCUGCCCUAGAGUGGGGGACAACAGUUGGAAACGACUGCUAAUACCGCAUAAGCCCACGGUACCGCAUGGUACUGAGGGAAAAGGAUUUAUUCGCUUUAGGAUGGACUCGCGUCCAAUUAGCUAGUUGGUGAGGUAACGGCCCACCAAGGCGACGAUUGGUAGCCGGACUGAGAGGUUGAACGGCCACAUUGGGACUGAGACACGGCCCAGACUCCUACGGGAGGCAGCAGUGGGGGAUAUUGCACAAUGGGGGAAACCCUGAUGCAGCGACGCCGCGUGGAGGAAGAAGGUUUUCGGAUUGUAAACUCCUGUCGUUAGGGACGAUAAUGACGGUACCUAACAAGAAAGCACCGGCUAACUACGUGCCAGCAGCCGCGGUAAAACGUAGGGUGCAAGCGUUGUCCGGAAUUACUGGGUGUAAAGGGAGCGCAGGCGGGAAGACAAGUUGGAAGUGAAAACCAUGGGCUCAACCCAUGAAUUGCUUUCAAAACUGUUUUUCUUGAGUAGUGCAGAGGUAGAUGGAAUUCCCGGUGUAGCGGUGGAAUGCGUAGAUAUCGGGAGGAACACCAGUGGCGAAGGCGGUCUACUGGGCACCAACUGACGCUGAGGCUCGAAAGCAUGGGUAGCAAACAGGAUUAGAUACCCUGGUAGUCCAUGCCGUAAACGAUGAUUACUAGGUG